rnacentral:rRNA from 1 species
ACGCGCAGAACCUUACCAACCCUUGACAUUUGUCGCCACCUCCAGAGAUGGAGGGUUCCCUUCGGGGACGGCAGGACAGGUGCUGCAUGGCUGUCGUCAGCUCGUGUCGUGAGAUGUUCGGUUAAGUCCGGCAACGAGCGCAACCCACAUCCCUAGUUGCCAGCAGUUCGGCUGGGCACUCUAUGGAAACUGCCCGUGAUAAGCGGGAGGAAGGUGUGGAUGACGUCAAGUCCUCAUGGCCCUUACGGGUUGGGCUACACACGUGCUACAAUGGUAGUGACAAUGGGUUAAUCCCAAAAAGCUAUCUCAGUUCGGAUUGGGGUCUGCAACUCGACCCCAUGAAGUCGGAAUCGCUAGUAAUCGCGUAACAGCAUGACGCGGUGAAUACGUUCCCGGGCCUUGUACACACCGCCCGUCACACCAUGGGAGUUGGUUCUACCCGACGGCCGUGCGCUAACCUUUNG